rnacentral:rRNA from 1 species
UACGUAGGGUGCGAGCGUUGUCCGGAAUUAUUGGGCGUAAAGAGCUCGUAGGCGGUCUGUCGCGUCGGUCGUGAAAACUUGGGGCUUAACCCUGAGCUUGCGGUCGAUACGGGCAUGACUGGAGUUCGGCAGGGGAGACUGGAAUUCCUGGUGUAGCGGUGAAAUGCGCAGAUAUCAGGAGGAACACCGGUGGCGAAGGCGGGGUCUCUGGGCCGAUACUGACGCUGAGGAGCGAAAAGCGUGGGGAGCGAACAGG